UUAUUAUAGAUUUUGAUAUUCAAAUACGCUGUUGAUCAGGUUGUAACCUUGAUCGGCUAUUUUUUUUGUGUAAAAUUUAGUAUGUGUUUGGUUAUCCAGUGAGCCAUCGCUGCUUUACGUUUGCAGCUCAUUUUACGAUGAAUUUACAAAGCUACUGUUUGUAGCUUCUUUCUCAACGCUACUUUAUACCGUGAUUUUUCCUUUCAUCAAACACAUACUUAAUUGAAUUGUAAUUUUCAUUCGGCUUCUUCAACAAGGUGAGCAAUUUUGAGAUACUUACAAGAGCAACUAUGAUAGAUUUUUUUUCUAUAAAGGUAAGGGCUAUCUCAAGAGCCAAAGCAGCCUAUAAGAUUUUGUCUUAAAAUUUUGAGGCAAAAAAACAUUAAAAAAAUCAAUAUACAUAUAGUUAUAGAUCUUUACCCUCCUUAGUUGAUCAAGUUGAGUAUCUCAUAUUUGCUUCGAGUGAGGUUUAAAUCUAUUAAUCAAUCAAACUUGAUUUUGUUAAGGCAUUUUCUUCUUAAAUUUCAAAAGGUUUCACUACAACAUUUUUUUAGGUCUCUACAGGUUGAACCACCCUAUUGAAGUUAAUACUAUUUAAGCCAUGUCAAACAUUAAAUAUGUGGAUAUUUAUCAUAAGUGAGAUCUUAAUCCAAUUUCUUCUAAAAUAUCAUUAUAUUUAUCUUUUUAAUAACUAAAUAUUCAUUAUAUAUUAAUAUUACGUAUUUGAGUGUAUUUAACCGUUUCUUAUCUAUAACUUGAUAACAUAAUCUUUCUUUCCCUAAAAAAACAAUCUUUCUUGAUAAGGAGAAAAAUAUUUACAUAACAAUUAGCACGUUAACAUUUUUCAUUAAAAAAAAAAGAUGAGUAUAUGUUACGAAAUCUCAUAUUUUAGAAAGAUUGAAAUUUUUAGACAAUUGUAUGUGUCUUCUUAUUUAUAUAUAGAGAGAUACUUACUACCCACAUCCCAAAAAACACAAGUUACACUCUAGAAUGACUAAUAUACCCUUUAACUAAAUACAAAUUUUAAAUUAAUCUAAAAUCCUUUCAUCCAUCACUUAAUCACUGAAACCUAGAAACGUAAACCUAAUUCAUGUAUCGCUCUUUCUCAAAUAUGUGUGCACAGAGUCUUUCUGAAAUCACAUAAGUUGUAAAUCCGUAAACUUAAUGUACACUAAUCUAAAUUGAACAUACGUAAACUUAAUUUACAUUAACCUAGAUUGAACGUACGUAAACUGAAUUCACACUAACCUCUUAUAUACAUAUGUUAACUUAAUUUACAUUAACUUAAAUUGAACAUAAGUAAAUUGAAUUUACAUUAAUCUAAAUUGUUCAUAAGUAAAUUAAAUUUACAUUAACCUAGAUUAAACAUAAGUAAAUUAAAUUCACACUAACCUCUUAUAUACAUACGUAUCUCUUUUAAAUAUAUUUACGUAUAAUUUGAAAGAGAUACCUAGUCAGAAUGCAACCCAAAUUCGUACAUGGUACAUGCUUUAAAUUAUUUUCAAUUGGAAUAGUUACAUGCUUACAGCUAAUGGAAAUAUUCCCUUCAAAAAAAAAAAAAAAAGCUAAUGGAAAUAUUGUCUUCUAGAUGGUUUUGAUUUGAGCAUAUUGCAUAAGAUUCCUUUGCCACACAUAAUGAUGAUUUGAUUUGAAUUUUUUGUGACAAUAUCAUAGUGGUUUGAUGCUAACCUCUAUUUAUGUUUCCGCAUAUUCACAACAGCUUCAGAGAAUUUGCGUGGCUUGCUCUUAAGUGGAUUUUGUUGGUUCAAGUGAAGUGCAUGCAUACCACAGCCAGAAGACAAAAAGAUAUUCUAUUAGUAUUUGCUCUGUUUCAUCUUUUGACUUCAACCUUAUUAGAAGCAUUAGGUAUGGGUGAAUAUAAUUGAAAAAUAUUGUUUCGAUAUUCUUAUUGAUUUUCUCGAAUAAAAAAAAAAAUCAAUGCAACAUGGGAAACUUAGCAACCGUUUAAAGUUUCUCUCACAAGACUUCAGGUUCACAAGAAACUCUAGAAAUAAUUC
rnacentral:lncRNA from 1 species